UUUUGGCGCAAAGUUAAAAUUUUCAGAAAAUUCAAGCGCCUUUUUUCAUUGUUGUGAAUUUUAACUUAACAAAAAGAGAAAAAGAAGCACUCUUCUUAUGGCUUAGGUUUUCCCCAAAUCAAAUACUCCCAAAGGUUAGCUAUUUCCCCAAAUCAAAUGCUCCCAGAACCCCCAAAUUGCCGGCAAUGUCCCCUCAACGUACUCCGAGUAGAUAUUUUUUUCUUUAUGUUAUGUAGUAGUAUAAUUUUUCAUAUACGUCAGAGAGAGUGAGACGACUAACAGUGGCUGCUCUCAUCAGCGCCGUAGAGAAUAUUUAGCUGAGAAUCAGAAGACCGGUAAUGAUUGGAAUUAUCUGCAAAGCUUGUUUGUGAACAGCAUUUUUAGACCUUUGUUGCCACCAGUGAUUGAGCCACCCACGAAUAGCCCAAGGAUCGGGAGAGUUAGCUUACUUCACCUUGAAUGGAAGAUAAUGGGGUGGCAGCAACUCGAAUCAGCAAGCAAAUCUUUUGUACAAUUUUUUUUAUGUUUAUUUGAUGUGCAACUAUAUAUUUUUAUGAAUUUAAGGUGUAAUGUUCAAAUUACCAUACACGAGUUCUCAUUCCUUUAGUUUGAUAUGAUUUUGAAUUUGUGAUGCUUGUUACGACA